GACGAACGCUGGCGGCGUGCUUAACACAUGCAAGUCGAACGGAAAGGCCCUGCUUUUGUGGGGUGCUCGAGUGGCGAACGGGUGAGUAACACGUGAGUAACCUGCCCUUGACUUUGGGAUAACUUCAGGAAACUGGGGCUAAUACCGGAUAGGAGCUCCUGCUGCAUGGUGGGGGUUGGAAAGUUUCGGCGGUUGGGGAUGGACUCGCGGCUUAUCAGCUUGUUGGUGGGGUGGUGGCUUACCAAGGCUUUGACGGGUAGCCGGCCUGAGAGGGUGACCGGCCACAUUGGGGCUGAGUUACGGCCGAGACUGUUGCGGGAGGCAGGAGUGGGGAGUAUUGCACAAGGGGCGGAGGCCUGAUGCAGCAACGCGGCGUGGGGGAGGACGGCCUUCGGGUGGUAAACCGCUUGCGCCUGUGACGAAGCGUGGGUGACGGUAAUGGGGAAAGAAGCACCGGCUAACUACGU
rnacentral:rRNA from 1 species